GUCCUUAAACAUCACAUUCUAUAAAAUUGGAAUGAUACAGAAAAGAUUAGCAUGACCCCUGUGCAACGAUCACACGCAUAGAUUGAGAAAUGGUCCAAAUUUUU